GAGUUUGAUCCUGGCUCAGGAUGAACGCUAGCGGCAGGCCUAAUACAUGCAAGUCGAGGGGUAACAGAGAGUGCUUGCACUCUGCUGACGACCGGCGCACGGGUGAGUAACACGUAUGCAACCUACCUUUUACUGGGGGAUAGCCAAGAGAAAUUUUGAUUAAUACCCCAUACGAUCUAAUUAUUUCAUGAUAAAUAGAUGAAAGCUUCGGCGGUAAAAGAUGGGCAUGCGACCUAUUAGUUUGUUGGUAAGGUCACGGCUUACCAAGACUACGAUAGGUAGGGGUCCUGAGAGGGAGAUCCCCCACACUGGUACUGAGACACGGACCAGACUUCUACGGGAGGCAGCAGUAAGGAAUAUUGGACAAUGGAGGAAACUCUGAUCCAGCCAUGCCGCGUGCAGGAAGAAUGCCUUAUGGGUUGUAAACUGCUUUUAUACAGGAAGGAAACUUGGUAUGUAUACCAAUUUGACGGGACUGUAAGAAUAAGGAUCGGCUAACUCCGUGCCAGCAGCCGCGGUAAUACGGAGGAUCCAGGCGUUAUCCGGAAUCAUUGGGUUUAAAGGGUCCGCAGGCGGUUUGAUAAGUCAGAGGUGAAAUCCUACAGCUCAACUGUAGAAUUGCCUUUGAUACUGUUAAACUUGAGUUAUUGUGAAGUAAUUAGAAUGUGUAGUGUAGCGGUGAAAUGCAUAGAUAUUACACAGAAUACCGAUUGCGAAAGCAGAUUACUAACAAUACACUGACGCUGAGGGACGAAAGCGUGGGUAGCGAACAGGAUUAGAUACCCUGGUAGUCCACGCCGUAAACGAUGGAUACUAGCUGUUUGAAGCACAUUGGUGUGUUGAGUGGCUAAGCGAAAGUGAUAAGUAUCCCACCUGGGGAGUACGCUCGCAAGAGUGAAACUCAAAGUAAUUGACGGGGGCCCGCACAAGCGGUGGAGCAUGUGGUUUAAUUCGAUGCAACGCGAAGAACCUUACCUACACUUGACAUCAUCAGAACUUGUUAGAGAUAACUCGGUGCCUUCGGGAACUGAUAGACAGGUGCUGCAUGGCUGUCGUCAGCUCGUGUCGUGAGAUGUUGGGUUAAGUCCCGCAACGAGCGCAACCCCUAUCCUUAGUUGCCAGCGAUUCGGUCGGGAACUCUAAGGAGACUGCCGGUGAUAAACCGGAGGAAGGUGGGGAUGACGUCAAGUCAUCAUGGCCCUUAUGUGUAGGGCUACACACGUGCUACAAUGGACGGUACAGAGGGUUGCCAACCCGCGAGGGGGAGCUAAUCCCAGAAAGCCGUUCUCAGUCCGGAUCGAAGUCUGCAACUCGACUUCGUGAAGUCGGAAUCGCUAGUAAUCGCGAAUCAGCAAUGUCGCGGUGAAUACGUUCCCGGGCCUUGUACUCACCGCCCGUC
rnacentral:rRNA from 1 species